UGUUUUGGGGUACCAUUUCAAUAAUUUUUUCUAUAAUCUACAUAUAUAUUAAGCUUUUCUAUAUAAUUUAGAGGAUGAAGAGUUUCUUUAUGACUUGAGCAGCAUCAGACUUUUCUACUGGUGAUAGCAACUAGCAAGUAAAGUUUAGAUAAAAUUUACAUACUGCACAGUGUGGUUCUUCCAACUGGCCCUGGGUUUGAUCCAAGACCUACUUAACUGUGGUAAGCCUUUGGGUUGUUUUUAUUUCCUGAGAGUGGGGAUUUGAUAUAAAUACAAAUCUGACAAACACCACUUUUUAAAAAUCUUGACCUUCCAUUUAGAACAACAGUCAUUCACUGUAUUAAGUUUAUAUGCAUGUGUGUUAUGUAGAAGAAUUUUACAGAAGAUAAAUUUAUAUAAAAUAUGUUUAUUGCUAUCUUAAUUAGAAAUAAUCUUUUUAUGCCCAUUGUAUGUGAUAAUUUCUCCAUGUGCAGUGAAUAAACCUGUGAUUAGGUCAUAGCCUAUUGUUAAGAACAUAUAGGCAGCCAAUUGGCCAAUGGAAUAUCAUCCUGCCUGGGAGGAGAAAAAAAACACUAAGGUAAAAUGAAAAUGCCAAUACAUGCUGAGAAAGAGCUAAUAAAAAGUGUGUGACAUUACUUAGACUGGUGAUACUAAAAAAAAAAAAAAGUGUAAUUUUUGUUCUUUGAGAAUGGACUAGCAUAGGGUAUAGAAAGACAAGAAAAGAAGGGUGACUUAGUCUAUUGAAAGAAAUUAUUUAACCCACUUAUCUGAAAUCAAAACAAAAAAUUGUUUUCCACAAUCUUCAAAUGUUUGGUUACAUUUUCAGAAAGGUGUGCAUUGAUAAAUAUUAAAUGGCUAAAGAAGAUGGGUUACAUUCUACUUAUAACUUGUCACAUAGCCUUAAAAAUACUGCUUUAAGGAUCAUCAAUUUAGAGGGAAGAUCUGAGUGGCAACAGUACUCUACUUUCAGUCCCAUCCUAUACCACAUCUUUAUGUUUACUAAGAUAAAGACAUUGUUGGAUUUAUGAUUAAUUUUUUAAAGGAAGCAAGAAGACAGAGUAUUAUAGUAGAUGAAUUAAGGCCCAAAUAAAAUCUCAGCAGGCCAAAAGAAUAGGCCAGAUUGGAUACAAUGAAAUUAAAUAGGUAUAAAUGUAGGAGACCAGCUUUUGGGGUCAGACAGCUAACUUCAUAGGGCUGCAUGGAAACAUGUGACUUGUCAUCAACAAAUGUAGGAAAAGAUUUAGGGCUUUUCAUAGCCACUUGGUUGUGGGUUCACCUUCGUGACCCAUAGAAUGACAUGAUGAACAAAACAAACAAACAAACAAAACAAUGAUAUAUGUGAUAUAGUGCCCAGAGUAAAAGAACAAAUUGUCCUACUCUGUUUCAUGUUGGUCAGAUUUUCCAAUUAGUUCUGUAAGGGUAUACAUGAAGUAGGACAUAUCUAAAAAAUGUGGCCAUUAGAUAAAGGAGACUCAAAAAUGUAUUAUUGAAGACUAGGAUGCUUUUCCGACAUACAGCAAUAAAAGACAAGAGCAAGGAUAGGGGUUUAGAUUUGAACUUUGUGUGCCCCAUCCACAAAGUUGGCAUAACUUGGACCCAAGUCAAAGAUACACUGAAGCAGAAUUCAACACAACGUAAGAAAGAACUUUUUAGCCAUCUUUAGAGAAUCCAAAGAUGGACUCAUUUGGAGGCAAUUAGUCUCUUAUCAUUGGAGAUAUUUGUGCAGAAAUUUCAGUAGCCACUUGGUGUGUUAUAGCAGUGAUCAAAGCAACAAAUAUGUUACAGUCACUUCAAUCCUGAUAUUUUAUUUAAAUAUGUGUCAACGAUUCCCAGAUGCACCACUUACUAACUUCUUGGGUAUCACUUAACUUCUCUGGGCCUCGGUUUCCUCCUAUUCAAAGGACUGAGGGGGUGACAGUAACUUAUAAAGCUGUUAGAGAGAUUAAAGGAGUUUGAAGAACAAUAGCAGUAGCCUGAUUCCAAAUCACUCCAUCGCAUUCCCAAAAUACCAAAAGAUCAACAAGGAGAAUAAAUAAAGCAGUGUUAGACAGAAAACACAGCAACCUUCAAGUCACUUAUGAGGAAAAAAAGAAAUAAGCUCUAACAAAGCUUCUGAUACCUGCAAAACAUCCCAGCAGACCUGUAUGUAUGGAGAGUCGGGGUGAGGGAGCCAAAAGGAAGAAGAGUAACACACAAAAAUGUCAAACAGGUGGAAUUGGGUAGUUCAUUGCCCUGGCCAUAGGGAAGGGGCUUAAAAGUGUGCAGGGCCUGAAGUGGAAGCCUCAGAGAGGUAGUGCUUCUGGAGAAGGAUUAGAAAAAGAGAAAAGAGAUUGUGCUCCUUGGAUAUGAGGUGGUGGAGGGAAAGAAAUAAAUAAAAGGAGAAAAUUAAAGAACAUGCUAAUUAAGAUUGGUUGAUUGUAUUAAUGUCAAUAAUAUGAUGUGAUCAUUCUACUAUAGGCUUACGAGGUGAUACCAUUAAGAGAAACUGCAAAAAGAGUACACAGGAUCUCUUUUUUAUAUCUUACAACUUCAUAGUUUUCACUAUGGAAGAAGGACAUACACAUAUGGAAUGCUGGAAGCCAAGAAAGAACCCUUUGGAAGUGAACUGGAACUGGAGGUACUGGUGUAAACUCAAGAUUUCUAGUGUGUGUGUGUGUGUGUGUGUGUGUGUGUGUGUGUGUGUGUGUGUGUGUGUGUGUGUGUGAAUGCUUUUGUGUGCAUAUAUAUGCGUGUAUGUGAGUAUAUGUAUAUGUGUCUAUAUAUUGGUAUGCAGGUGUAUGGGUAUAUGUGCAUAUAUAUAGAUAUACAGAUAAACAGAUAUGGAUUUCCUAGCUUUCUUUACUGAAAGGCCAAAAAGCAGACCAGAGGAGCAACAAGCAAAUCUAAAACCCAGACUUGGUCCCCACUCAAAGGAACCAAGACUUCUUCUUGGAGAAAUAGCUGAUUCCAGGACUGGGACAGGGUCACUCUGUUUCUAAGAAAACAGAUUGUCUAGGGCAUCCAGUGCUGCUUUUUCUUUUCUCUUCAAAUGUUAUGAAGCCAGCCAUAGUUUCUUCUGCCUAUUACAUAUUGAUAUCAUUUUCGGUCAGUCUUCCUCGGCUGCCAUCUAGUUUAUAAUGAUCCUCAGAAUGUUAAAGAACUUCCACCAAUCCCAAAUUGUCUCUUAUUUUUAUCUGUGUUCCUAUAAACAUUUCUCUAAGGGUUGUAUAAAACAGAUUUCAAUUUCAUUAUGGUAUGCUUCCCUUAUUUGCAACUGUUUUCAAAUUUCUCCUCCCAUACAUUUUGUCUGACAUUAUAGGUCUAAAUUGUUUGCCAGAACACACAAAUGUCAGAGAGAUUGGCCACAGCAAAUUGGAAGUGGGGGUGUGCUAAAGCUCGUUAGCCUACAGGCUCAUUGGUUGACAAUGCAGCUGUCUUCAGAGAAUGGAGUAAAUAUAUCAGAGACAAAUUAAUUGCAUCACAAUGCAUUUGCCCUUUUAUCAUUUUUUAGGUUUUCAGCUAACAUUUUUAUUACCAACAAGAUUCUGUUGGAGACCACAGCUUAUGUCAGCAGCCACGAUAGUGUGCUUUUGCCUGGGACGGGCAAUCUACCUGAAAGAAAGCAACAAGGCAAAGAGAUCAUCUCACCCAAAACUCCUGCCACACAGUUUGGCCUUCCACCUACCUUGAGGCAGUAUGAACUCUGAUCCAGAUGUGCUGAACUUUGGGAGACAGGCACAGGGCAGUCACCAACCAGACAGGCCAUGCCUCUUCUCCUAGAGAAGAGUUGGUGAGGGUGGGGACACGGCUAUUUUUCCCAGGGCUUCAGAAAAGGCACAAGUGAUUAAUUGAUGGGAUGCAGAAGGACCUAUGUGUUAUUGCACAUUUUGAGUUCUGUAGUUUUGUUAAGUGUGAGUUCAGUAUUCUUUGGCAGGCCCUCUUGCUUCUCCACACUGCUUAGCCAUUUCCUUUUUUCGGCUGUGCUUUUAAUGGCUGCCUUUGCUGAUUAAUUCUGGCACACAGGAGAGGCUCAAAUGACUGUGCUAUAAGUUUGAGGCUCAUCCAAUAUUAAUCUUAGUUAUAUGCACCAUAUUGUACCCAGUUUUAACAUUUACUUAAUUUGCUUUUCUCUGGAUGAAAAGAGAAGGGAGACUUAAACAUUACAAAGGGAACACAGAUUUUUUUUUUCCUUCUCUUUCCUUGAAUUGCAUAGUACAGUACUUUCAAAUGGCUUAUGGAAAGGAUUAAAAGUAAAGGGUAAAAAGACAAAUAGAAUGAUAGAAGCUGUUUCUAUCGUUAUCCUCUGAAGUUCCAUGAACAGACUGAAAGUUCAGUUGAGGUCUAUGAAAAUAUUAGCAGACGCCAAAAGGCCAGCAGCCAGGAUUUGUGUCUUUGUGCAAGAACUGAACAGCUACCAACAGCUAGAAAAUUUUAAAAACCUUGGCAGUGAUGGAAUAGUCCUAUGAAAAAAAAGAGUGAGAAAUGUUUAUGAAAUGAUUAGAUUUAUGAACUUGUAAAAGAAUGUUCUCUACAGAUUCUAGGCCUCUAUGUAUGUAGAUAACUGAAAUAUUAAGACUUAGAGAUGAUAGUUAUUUAUUUUAAUGAUGCAAUUAGUAAUUGCGGCUGAAAUGAAUUUGACCUAAUUCGAAAUCUCUUAGUGAAAGAAAGUAAAAUGCAUAAUAAUUAGGUAAAAUUUAAGUUUGCAGUAAGUAUAUACUUAAACUUCUAAGAUCUUGUUUUUAAGUUAUUCAAAAUGUUAAUCAUAUGACAUCUAAAUAAGAUGGAAAUUUUUUCUCAGUAGUAAAUUAAUUACAUUAAGUUAUGAUUGACUUUUCUUAAUUAUUUCAUGCUUAUGAAUAUUUAAAUUAGAAAUAUAUAUUUGAUUCAGCUUUUUAAAAAGAUAUUAGUCAACAUAGUAAAAAAAAGUUAGACUGCAUGAUAUUAAUUUAAAGCAGUGCCAAGUGUUGAAAGUGUACUUUAUAAAGUGGAAUUGCAUUUUUAAGAUAAAAUAUAAGUAACAAAAAUAUGAUUAAGGCAAAUAUUUGGAAUUUUAUUUACUAACCAAAUUAUAAAACAUGUAAGCGCUUCGAAAAUACUCAGUCAAUAAUAUACUUUCAAUAAGUAUAAUCCUUGGUUUUAAUUUAGCUUUAUCAGAAAUGAAUAUAUUGCUUUUAUUUCUAUAAGAACAUCUUUCCUGUUAAAUCACAUAUCUUAGCUAAUAUUUCACUGUAAUACCAGAAAAAAACAUAAGAGGGCACUUUAGUUCUGUAACAAACUAAUACCAUUUCUAAAACCUUUUAUAAAUUAGUAAAACAGACAAUGGGGAGAUUUGAACUAUCUGGUAAAAUUUAAAUAAAAAUGUAAAGCAAGCUCCUCCGCCUCCCAAUAACUAAUAAAAGAUAUCUCAGGUAAACAGCAA